rnacentral:rRNA from 1 species
GUAGGUGGCAAGCGUUGUCCGGAAUUAUUGGGCGUAAAGCGCGCGCAGGCGGUUCUUUAAGUCUGAUGUGAAAGCCCACGGCUCAACCGUGGAGGGUCAUUGGAAACUGGAGAACUUGAGUACAGAAGAGGAAAGCGGAAUUCCACGUGUAGCGGUGAAAUGCGUAGAGAUGUGGAGGAACACCAGUGGCGAAGGCGGCUUUCUGGUCUGUAACUGACGCUGAGGCGCGAAAGCGUGGGGAGCAAACAGGAUUAGAUACCCUGGUAGUCCGCGCCGUAAACGAUGAGUGCUAAGUGUUAGGGGGGUUUUCCGCCCCCCUUAGUGCUGCAGCUAACGCAUUAAGCACUCCGCCUGGGAGUACGGCCGCAAGGCUG